rnacentral:rRNA from 1 species
UACGGGGGGGGCAAGCGUUGUUCGGAAUUACUGGGCGUAAAGGGCUCGUAGGCGGCCAACUAAGUCAGACGUGAAAUCCCUCGGCUUAACCGGGGAACUGCGUCUGAUACUGGAUGGCUUGAGUUUGGGAGAGGGACGCGGAAUUCCAGGUGUAGCGGUGAAAUGCGUAGAUAUCUGGAGGAACACCGGUGGCGAAGGCGGCGUCCUGGACCAACACUGACACUGAGGAGCGAAAGCCAGGGGAGCAAGCGGG